rnacentral:lncRNA from 1 species
CCUCAGGGGUGACACCUCAGAGCUCCUGUUUACCUCUUUAGCCACCAGGAAGACAUUAGGACUCCCAGAGGGUGACUCCAGGGGCAGGUGGCUUGGAGGACUGGCCGUGCAAGGAGGCAGCAAAGGGGCGGCCAUCUGCAAGCUGAGGGCAGAGGCCUUGGAGGAAGCAGCCCUGCCAGUGCUGGUAACUCCUGCAGGUCGGAAGUCCAAACCAAGGUGCUGGAAGGGCUGGUUCCUUCCGGACCCUUCAGGGGAGAAUCUUUCUGCCUCUUUGGCUUCUUGAGGCCCCUUCCUGGCAUUGCUUCUUUCUCCACUGACUCCUACCAUCAGCGCUGAGUCCUGCCUGCCUCUUAUAAGAUCUUCAGAGGCCACCUGGGAUGUCAGAAGCUUCCAGGAACCAGGAGGUAGCUGCAUCUCCUGUCCCUUCCCUGAGUCACCUUGCUGGACUCCACAGUGUGGUGCAGACAAGAAGCUGCAGGGGACAACAUGGAAGGAAGCGGGGAUGGAGGAGAUGGAAUGGGAUGGGCUCUGGGCCCGGCCAAGCAGAGCAGGAUAGGGCUGAGAGUCAUCUGAGCACAGGUGGUUCAAAUGGCAGAGAAGCUCCACGCUGGAGCGGGGAAGAGCUUGGGCUUUCCGGCCAGAAAGCGCAGGUUUUGGCCACGGCUCUUCUGCCACUCACUAGAUGUGGGAGUUUGGAGGCGUUACCCGAGCUCUGAGCCUUACUUUCCUCAUCUGAAAAAUGGGAAUAAUGGUAGGGUUAAAUUAAACCAAAUUUGGUCUGAGGAUGCCUCUGCACUUUGAGUCCAACUGCGACCUUAGCAGCAAAUGAACUGCAGGCCUAGCUUAGGAGUGUACUUUUGUAAGAAAUAGCCGAGUCUUAGCCAAUCACAGCAGCUGAGCUUCUAUAAAUCGCAGGUGGCUGCUGAGUAGUCCAUGUUCAAACACGGCAAACCAAGCUGUGACCAAUGAGCUGUCUCUGCAGCUCACUUCCAUUUUCUGUCUAUAAACACUCCCUGCCCACACUGUGGAGUGGAGCUCAGCCCUUGGAACCUCUUCUGGUCUGAGGGCUGCCCACUUCAUGAAUCCUUUGCUUAAUUAAACUCAAUUCAUUUCAAAUGAAACUCAAUUGAUUGCUAGAUUAAUUUAAAUUUAAUUCGUCUAAAGUUUUCUUUUAACAGUUCCUACCUUGUUG